GGGCGGCGCGGGCUCCCCUCAGGCGGCCGCCUCCCGCCACGUCGAGCGGCGCAGAGCCCCUCAGCCUGGCUCCUGCCCGCAGCCCCGGCGGGAGGGCUCUUCUCAGCUCCUCCUCAGUUUGAAACGCGGCCCAGAAAAGGGUGAGGAGAUAGCAAAUCUGAUGAAGAAAGUUGAUGUUAGAGUCAAGCCAAAUGCUGCAUCAUGAAUAGUGAAUUUCUGGCAGACCUGUUGAGAAGUACCAUGAAGUUUCUUCUACCAUUGAAACUGGCAAGUUACAAAUAUACUGUGAAAGACAGAAUUUAAGGAUAUGUGGAAGUGACGCAGCUCAAGAUGUGCUUCAGAAAAGUAAUAUGCCAGAAUAUGAUGUAAAAUAAUGCUUCAUUCUCAAAUAAAGAUGCCUGUUUUGCUCUUGGCUGAAGUCAGCCAUAUAGGAUCUGAACGGGAAUGCUCCCUUGUAUUAGUAGCAUCUCACCGACAUUUACCUUGAGGUAUCUGUAAUUUACAUAUAUAAAAUAAAUUUCAGACCCUGUACAGUUUUUCUGUACAGUACUGAUUUUUUGUGUGUCUCAGAAUGUUGUAUAAACCUAAUCAAAUGCUUUGCAGAAGGCUUUUAUGUCAAAACAGUUCCUUUGAUCAAACAAACCUGUAUUCAGGGGAAAAAAAAAAAAAAAAAAAAAAGUGUUGUUUGGCAAGACUGAGUUCUCCUAAAGCUGUUUUGACUCUUUUUAGUUAUUCUAGCAUCCCUAAUUCUAAACUGAUUGUGUUCUUUAUCAGCCAUUUUAUGAUUCUACCAAUAAUCAAUGUCAAAGUAAUUAGCAUAUAUAUUACAUGGCUAUUCUUUUAUUCCUUAAAAAAUCUAUAUAUUAGUAGGAGGAAAAAGGUCAAAGUAGGUUGUAAGUAACUAGCAUAUAUAUUACAUGGCUAUUUUUUUAUUCCUUAAAAAUUCUAUAUAUUAGUAGGAGGAAAAAGGUCAAAGUAGGUUGUAAUUAAAUAUAAAGAAAUAGGGGCAAUUCAGUGAAGAGUGGAUUUAUGGGAAAUAAAAGAAUCUGAAACUAUAUUACAAUAUACUUAUAUAUACAGUGAGGGAAUACUAAUAUUGAUGUUUCUGCACUGAUGAGAACUUUCACUUUUAAUUUAUCACUUAUUUCUUUUAGGAGUGCUAUAUUCCAUGGAAACAGAAUUCUUACACAAUCAUAGAUAGCACACUUGUCUGUAGGAUGCUAGAUUUCAUCAUCAAAAUAGUUAGUACACCUUACAUUAAAAAAAAAAAAAAAAAAA